rnacentral:rRNA from 1 species
UACGUAGGGACCAAGCGUUGUUCGGAUUUACUGGGCGUAAAGGGCGCGUAGGCGGCUUAACAAGUCACUUGUGAAAUCUCCGGGCUUAACUCGGAACGGCCAAGUGAAACUGUCAAGCUAGAGUGCAGAAGGGGCAAUCGGAAUUCUUGGUGUAGCGGUGAAAUGCGUAGAUAUCAAGAGGAACACCUGAGGUGAAGGCGGCAUCCUGGACCGGUAUUGACGCUGAGGCGCGAAAGCCAGGGGAGCAAACGGG